rnacentral:rRNA from 1 species
AGUGAACGCUGGCGGUAGGCCUAACACAUGCAAGUCGAACGGCAGCACAGUAAGAGCUUGCUCUUACGGGUGGCGAGUGGCGGACGGGUGAGGAAUAGAUCGGAAUCUACUUUUUCGUGGGGGAUAACGUAGGGAAACUUACGCUAAUACCGCAUACGACCUACGGGAGAAAGCAGGGGAUCUUCAGACCUUUCGCGAUUGAAUGAGCCGACGUCGGAUUAGCUAGUUGGCGAGGUAAAGGCUCACCAAGGCAACGAUCCGUAGCGGGUCUGAGAGGAUGAUCAGCCACACUGGAACUGAGACACGGUCCAGACUCCUACGGGAGGCAGCAGUGGGGAAUAUUGCACAAUGGGCGCAAGCCUGACCCAGCCAUACCGCGUGAGUGAUGAAGGUCUUCGGGUUGUAAAGCCCUUUUAUUGGGAAAGAAAAGAUGCAUAUUAAUCCACCGCCGUCUUGACGGUACCUAAACAAUAAGCCACGGCUAACUACGUG